UGGGGAGCAAACUCCAGAAGUGGGGUGUUUGAGCAAGAGGAAGAAUGGACAAUGAUGUUGGUGCACGUUGUACUGAAAGAGGUUUUUUUCCAAAAAUGUUCUGAUGAGUACACCCUGGAGCUGAGAAGCACCCAGAGGAGGAUCUGGGCUACCAGCAAGACUCCAGGAGUGAACCUGUCAAUGCAUGCAAGAGCUGUCAUGGAAAGAGCACUUACUCUAGAGCCAGAAAUGACCAGGAUGAAGCCUUGGCUGCACCUACUGAGCUGUUGAUCUCUUUUUUAACUUGAAGAAUGGUAAUAAUAGUACCCACCUCAUGCAGAUGUCAUGAAGAUUAAAUGCAGUAAUUUCUAGCCCCUGGGUUUUACAGUUUAGCAGCCACACCAUAGAAGAAUCCAGAUGGCAACCUCCUUGCCAGGUCACAACCAAACAACAGUCAACUAAAUGAACUUAGGGAACUGAGGAAGUAUUACUGGGCUCCAGAUCUAUAGCAGAGAUCCUCAUGUGAGGAGAGAUAGAGCAAGCGGAGAUCGGUGAUGUCCAGAUGUAGAGCAGAAGCAGUACGGCAGCACAAGGGGAGUCUCUCAAAUCCAGCCUUCCCUUUUUCCCACUAACAAAACCCUGAUUUUAUGGAGGUAUCAAUGUGCCCAGAUGAAAACUGUCUCUCAGGCUACCCUGCAGAUAAGCCCAGCUAUGAAACUAAGUUCUGGCCAGUGGUAUACAGGCAUAAGUUACUAUAAAAGGGGGAAAGCUUCUUAAGGAAAAAGAUGAUUCAAUUCAAAAGGAAGCUCUUCGGCAUUUCCUCCUCCUUUUUUGCCAACUAGAACUUAGACAUGAUUAUAGAAGCUGCAAAGACCAUCUUGAAAUCAUGAAGCAGUCCAAAGGAUUAGAAUGCAGACAGAUAAAAGAGAAGUGGAAUGCUGAUGUCCACACCUAGAUUUAUUUUAUAUAGAUGAUAAUUAAAGUCAUAUCACUUACUUCAGGCCUCUGUUACCAGCAGAGUGUGACAGCUAGCCUUCAAGGUGGUUUCCAAUGUCCUUACCUCCCAGGAAUCAUGUUCUUGUAGGAGGUGUGAUCAAAACAUACAGUGGAAAUAGUUUCUCUGGUGUGAAAAACUAUAAUAGAACAUAAGAUCCUAAUGAGAUAACUGACAAUGUGAAACAGGAAGAAAAGGGCUAAAGAUG
rnacentral:lncRNA from 1 species